CAUUGUCGUGACCCUUAACCAAAACAGACCGUGAACGUGUCUCCAAUGCCGCCGGGCUUCGGUCCGGCAAAGGCUCCCGACCUUCGUUAGGAGGAAAGGAGCCGCAAAAGAACCCACGGCGCCGAAGGCGUCAAGGAACACUAAUAUUGCCUUGCUCGGGACCGUGGCUGGCUUGCUAGCCACUUCCCGUGCAGCGAUGCUAUACUAAUCCACACGACUCUCGGCAACGGAUAUCUCGGCUCUCGCAUCGAUGAAGAACGUAGCAAAAUGCGAUACCUGGUGUGAAUUGCAGAAUCCCGCGAACCAUCGAGUUUUUGAACGCAAGUUGCGCCCGAGGCCUUCUGGCCGAGGGCACGCCUGCCUGGGCGUCACGCCAAAAGACACUCCCACCCCAUCAUAGGGUUGGAUGUGGCGUUUGGCUCCCCGUGCCUGAAGGCGCGGUGGGCCGAAGUUGGGGCUGCCGGCAUACCGUGUCGGGCACCGCACGUGGUGGGCGACUACAAGUUGUUCUCGGUGCAGCGCCCCGGCACGCAGCUAGCAUGUUGGCCCUAAGGACCCAUGUACAACCGAAGCGCAUUGUCGCUCGGACCGCGACCCCAGGUCAGGCGGGACUACCCGCUGAGUUUAAGCAUAUCAA
rnacentral:rRNA from 1 species